rnacentral:tRNA from 1 species
GGGGUUGUGGCUCAGUGGUAGAGUGCUUACCUAGCAUGUGUGAGGCACUGGGUUUGAUUCUCAGCACCACA